AAUAGGCCUUGAGGCUUCCCAUCAAAAUUCAUCCUGUCCCCGAACGUUAUAUGGUAAUCAUAAUAUAACAGCAAUAAAACUAAGUGACAGGUCGAUUACUUGCGCCCCAAGUAACUUCGGACUUCUUGUUAUCAAAGCUUGUAGUGGAUGGGUUAAGUCCAUAUCAGGUUCUUUUUAUGCCUUGAGGCCAAGGACUUUUUAGUGUGAUCAAAUCUUAUAUGCCCGAAGGCUUAGAACUUAGAUCUGGCUUGAAUUGUGAAGACAUAUUCAAAUCAUAUUCAAGCGCUGAGAGUCUUUUAAUAGCCAUAUUACUAGAAAUAACUUGGAUACAACUUGAAGUAUACAACAUAUUGCUAGUCAAAUGAAUGAAAAAGACAAAAACAAAGAAGGUCGGACAAGGUUUAACCUUGUCGGGCAAGGCUGAUCGUCUUGCAACUUCCUAUCUUUGUGGGUUAACAGAAGGUUUGAAGGCUUAGAAAAGGGGUUGGGAAAUGAGUUUGCAGAAAGAAAAUCAAUACUACAGCAGGUGUUGAACAGGGUAGCAGAGCUAUUACAAAGGGUUUAUCCCGAAAGGGAUGAGGGCUUGGGCUGACUACAGCUUCGUUUUGAAGGCAAAUCUGGCUUUGAGCAGAGUUUGUGCUUGUAUUUGUUUGUUUGAGUGUCCUUGAUUCUGACUUCUCCUUUUCCUUUUAUAGCCACCUUGGCUUGGCCUCAUGUAGCAAUAAUCUUGCCCGAAUGUAGUUUGAAGGAUAAUGACUCAUCAUCUAUUUACUUGUACUGCCAUUUAAAAGUACUUUUUGGGCUGAUUAGCUGGCUGGUCUAUACCACUUGGCCAUUGGGUAGGUGAGCAAGUAGUCUGCAUGGCCUGCACCUAGUCAGAAAUGGGCUUCUACUGUCUUCCGGACUUCGGCUAGGUUUUGACUGGCCUUGACUGGGCUUCUUCCUUUUAGGCUGCUCUUUGGGCCAACUUCCCCUGAGCCCAAAGUUUAGGUUUUGAUCCAAACAAUUACUAGACUGUAAUACUAAGUGGUCCUCAAUUCUUUCUUUUAUUUUUAUUGUUUCCUACUUUCUUCGUAAAAAGGAAUAAACCAUGGCCGAACAACAUUCGUGCCCAAAUCCUAAUUUCUUGUCCAAACUCGAUAUGUUUCACUUUUCUCCAACCCCAACAUUACAUAGUUCAUGCAAUCAGUUAAUUUAGACACAGCCCAAAGAAAAGACUUAUGAAUAUGAGUUUGAAUUACAAAUUUGAUGCAGGGAGCACUAUUUUAAAAAUCCUUGCCUAAUCGCUAAGCGACUGGCCACCGUCCUGAUUAAUGACUAGACGUUUGAAAAUUAAGAAAAAGGGCCUAGACCUAUUGAGGUACCUGCCUAGCCCGCCCAUAUCCGCCUAGGUUGCGACUCACUUAGGCAGAAAAUAGAUAACUUUCAUUUUGUAUUUAUUUUUUUCAAUAAAUUGUAAGAAACUUGUUGAAUACUUAAAUGAACAACAUUAUAUGUUUGUUCCCUAUGUUUUCAUUAUGUUCCAAUAUUUCAUAAUAUAUGUGUCAUUUUGUUUUAUAGUUUAUGAUAAAAUUAUAUAUAUUUGAAGUAUAACCAUACACCUAUUUACAUGAAAUAUAAAGGAUUUAGUUAAAUCCGCCUAGUCCGCCUAGGCGCUUAGGCACUAGGCUCCAGCUCGCCGCCCGACUAGUGCUUAGCGUCUUUUAGAACCCUGGCAAUGAGCAAUGUGGCAGGAUAUAAAAUGUUGGAAAUAAUAUAAAUUAAACAAGAGCAAGACACUUAAAAUAAGUUUACAACUCAAAUUUCAAUAUUACAAUUCAAACAACUUCUACAUCUCUUUUUUUGUGUUACAAAUUAGGGGUGGGCACUUGAAACCAAAAACCGCAACCGAAACACGAACCAAAUCGAACCAAACCCAACGGUUUGGUUUUUCAGUUUCAAAACGGUUUCGAUUUGAAACCGAACCGAAUAGGGGAAAAACGGUUUGGUUUCGGUUUCGGUCCUCCGAAACCAAACCGAAACCGAAACCGCAUAGCUUUAUUAAAUGUUAAAUUUUAAUUGGUUAUUUUCAUUGAGUCCAUACAUUUAGUAUGGACUCAACCACAUCAUAACAUGGCCACAUAACAUCACUUUUUAUUUUCUUUCUUCUAGUCCCGUAGUUCGUGGACUAAGACUUUGUGCUCUCUUUCUCAAGUUUAUUCAUCUAUCUCCAGUCUCAUGGUGGACUAAGACUUUGUGCUCUCUUUCUCAAGUUUAUUCAUCUGUCUCCAGUCUCCUGCACUCUUCUUCCAGUUCCAAACGCUGUCUCUCUCUCCCCUUCGGCCUCCUUUCCUCUUCAUUCCAGGCUUUCCAUCUCCUAGCUUCUAAAUUUCAGAGUGCUAAUAUGGUAAGAACUAUGAUUUAUAACUUGUUUUAGUUAAAUUUACUUAUAGAUUUGAGAUUAAUUUUAGAGUUAGGUUUAGGGUUGGGUUUUGAAUCAAAAGGGGAUUUUGUUUUUCGUUGGUUAGUCUUUGAUUUUUCUUCGUUCAAGAACAUUAGAAUGUCAAUUGAAAGCAUUUAUGAUAUUUGCAUAUUGUAGGGAGGACUGAAACUGCAUCUUGAUUAUCCCGAGGUGACUUGGAAGACUGAAAAUGCUAUUGAACGAAUGGGUUUUAAUGCUUGUUUUUUUUGUUCUGUAGCUUUGUUUUUACUAUUUAUUGGUGAAACACCUGGAUUGUGUAUUGGAUAUAAGCAAUGUUAUGAUACCAUUGAAAUUAUUGGUUAUUUAUUUUCUGGUCUCUGCACAUACAAAUAAGUUCUUCAAAUGAAUAUGCAAUAUAGUCCUUUUUUCUAAUUUUGGUAUCUACUGAUUGUCAUAUUUCUUUUCCUCUCUUUUAUGUUGUUGCAGUUAAAUGCUGAUAAAAGUCCUUUCCAACGAACAUUUGUUAAUCAGGUAUAUACUCAUAUUUGAUUAGAACUACAAUUGCAUUGCACUUGUUAAGACUCGAUUGUGCAUGGCAUGCCCCCUUUACUUGUUAUUUACCAGAAGAUAGCAAGGUAUGGAUAUUACACUAGAAUAGUAUUUUGUUGUCAUCAACUAGGUAACAUGAAUUUGUGAUGGUAUCAGACCCUAAACUUAAUGCCAAUUCUAAAUUUGUGAUGCAGCGAGGCAAGGAAGUCAUUAAGUAGACCGCAUGUUGGGCAAGUCCUUGAUAAUCUCAUCUACAAUUACAAUCUGACUUUUUUGUGGGAAGGCUUUGGCUUAGUAAGCCAAAAAGUGCUCUUCAAACUGCACUUGUAUUGGUUGUGAUCACCCAGAAUUGCAGUUACUGGACUUUCUUUAUGUUACAGUUUCUGUGUGUUUGCAGCUUUACUAAAACACAUCUACCACCUUUUGUUAUUAAAAAAAUUUCACAUAGUUUGAUUGGUAGGUUCUACCAAAACUAGAGUUAUUAGAAUCUUUUUUAUGUUUGGGUUUGCGGUACUGGCAUCAGAUUUGAUGUGCUCUUAGUUGCCUCAAGUUGAAUUCUUUUGUUGUGGUCCUUGUGGAUGUGAAUUUUGUUGUCAUUAAUUAGGUAACCAUAAUAGUUUUUUCAAACAACGAAACCAAACCAAAACCGUUUGAAACCAAACCAAACCAAACCAAAUGGUUUGGUUUCAUUUUGGUUUUAGCCUCAAAACCGCACUGAACCAAACUGCAAAAACUUGCGGUUUUGGUUUUGGUUUCACUCAAAACAGCACCAAACCAAACCGCGCCCACCCCUAUUAAAAAUACAUAUAUUUAUAGGCUUAUAAAUACAUAUAUUAUAUCUCAAAAAAUGCAUGUAUUUCACUCUCUGAUACCAACUAAUUCAGGGAGCAACGUGGUGGGAAAUAAAAUUAAAUAAAAUUCUAGAACUAAUAUGAAUUAGAAUGAACAAAUAUGAGAGAUAGAUAUGAUCCACUAUCUUCAAGUGUGAGGAAAUACCUCAAAACCACAAACCAUGUCUCUAAUACCAGCCUAUAACGUAGACAACUAUAAAUAAAGUAACAACUCUUAAACAAGAGGCACUUGUAAUGAGCUUACAACUCGAGCUUCAAUAUUAUAAUUCAAACAACUUAUAUCUCUUUUUUAACUUAAAAAUACAUGUAUUUUUAGGCUUACAACUUAAAGUGAGAAACAUGAAAAGACAAAUGAAAUAAAGGAAAAUUUAGAUUAAAUAUCAAUUUUAAUAUAGGUUUUAAAGGAAAAUACCAACUUUAAGGAAAACUACCACGAAUGAGGAUCAUCUCCGGAUCUUCUUUGUGAGGAUCCCAGGGAUUUCCACAUCGUGUCCAUUUAUCGUACAUCGUGCGGCCAAUUUUCGUCAAAUACUGUUCAUGUUUAAUUUUAAAUAAAAAUAUUUAAAAUGAUUUCUGACCGCACGAUGUACAAUGAACAAACACGAUUUGAGGAUCCCCAAAAACCUCACAAAGAGGAUCCAGAUAUGAUCCUCAUUCAACUACCACUCCCUUCCCAUUCUAUUUGGAUAAAGCACAAAGACAUUUCUAUUUUUGUCCAAAUUGCACAUGACCGACAUGCUACCGAGGUGGUAGUGCCAUAAAUUGUCGUUGACCACCAUCAUUGUGGCCGAAAUUCUUUUCCGGUCACCGAAAAAUUUGAAGUCACUAAACAACAUGUACAACUUUUUCAUCUUCAAUUAAGUUCUGUUGUGUGAGUUUAUUAUUUUUUAUAUGUAUACGCGAUUAAAUUAGGCUCAAGCAUCUCAAAAGGCUUCCACAAUUAUGAUUCCACAUAGAUCAAGGGAACUUUUGUAACCAUCCACAUCAUGAACCACUUGGCAAGCCCUGUUAAGUGACUUCGGCUCAUUUAAGCAUGGCAUAUGCAUGGUGUGACUUAUGAUAAAUAUGUCUGAUUUGUAUGACUUUGGCGUUCAAUAAACUAUUGUUUAUUGGCAUGGCAUGUUUAUAAAUUUGCAUACUAUUCAUUUUUUACUUUAUGCAUAGAUUUAAGCUGGGCUUGUGACGUUUCCACAACGAUUGAACUUUGGGUCAUGAUUGGGCUUGUAUGUGAUAUUUUUACGCUCCAACGCUAGUCGAAAAAUCGUGUUAUGAUUGUGCAACAAUCAUGUAAUUAUUGUGAGUUAUAUUUAGUAUUUAUAGAAUUAUUUUGGUUGACUUUUCCAUAGGUACCUAAACUAUAAACAUGAUGGUUUCAAGUAGGCAUGGCAAUUCCUGACACGACCCGAUAACCCAACACGACACGACACGAAAUUAACAGGUGGUCGGGUCAACACGAUAACUAAUCGGAUCGUUAUCGGGUAACCCGAUAAGCACCUGUUAAGAUAACGGGUUGGUUCGAGUAUACACAUGGGUAACACGAUAAGCAAAAUAUUAAUUUUAUAAUUUUAUAACCCUAAAAAAAUACUAUAAU
rnacentral:lncRNA from 1 species